GGAAUUGUUCGCAAUGGGCGCAAGCCUGACGACGCAACGCCGCGUGGAGGAUGACGGUCUUCGGAUUGUAAACUCCUGUUGCCCGGGACGAACCGUUCCGACCUAAUACGUCGGGAUCUGACGGUACCGGGUGAGGAAGCCCCGGAUAACUAUGUGUCAGCAGCCGAGGUAAUACAGAGGGGGCGAGCGUUGUUCGGAAUUACUGGGCGUAAAUGGCGCGUAGGCGGCCUGUUAAGUCGAACGUGAAAUCCCCGGGCUCAACCCGGGAACUGCGUCCGAGACUGGCAGGCUCGAAUCCGGGAGAGGGAUGUGGAAUUCCAGGUGUAGCGGUGAAAUGCGUAGAUAUCUGGAGGAACACCGGUGGCGAAGGCGGCAUCCUGGACCGGCAUUGACGCUGAGGCGCGAAAGCCAGGGGAGCAAAC
rnacentral:rRNA from 1 species